rnacentral:rRNA from 1 species
UACGUAGGGCGCAAGCGUUGUCCGGAAUUAUUGGGCGUAAAGAGCUCGUAGGCGGUUGUCGCGUCUGCUGUGAAAACUCGAGGCUCAACCUCGGGCUUGCAGUGGGUACGGGCAGACUAGAGUGCGGUAGGGGUGACUGGAAUUCCUGGUGUAGCGGUGGAAUGCGCAGAUAUCAGGAGGAACACCGAUGGCGAAGGCAGGUCACUGGGCCGCAACUGACGCUGGAGGAGCGAAAGCAUGGGGAGCGAACAGG